rnacentral:rRNA from 1 species
AUUGAACGCUGGCGGCAGGCUUAACACAUGCAAGUCGAACGAGUGGCGGACGGGUGAGUAAUGUCUGGGAAACUGCCCGAUGGAGGGGGAUAACUACUGGAAACGGUAGCUAAUACCGCAUACCAUCGGAUGUGCCCAGAUGGGAUUAGCUGGUAGGUGGGGUAACGGCUCACCUAGGCGACGAUCCCUAGCUGGUCUGAGAGGAUGACCAGCCACAGUGGAACUGAGCCAGUGUCCAGACUCCUCCGGGAGGCAUCAGUGGGGAAUAUUGCACAUGGGGCGCAAGCCUGAGGCAGACAUGCCGCGUGUAUGAAGAAGGCCUUCGGUUUGUAAGGUACUUUCAGCGAGGAGGCGUUACUCGCAGAAGAAGCACCGGCUAACUCCGUGCCAGCAGCCGCGGUAAUUC